UCAGUCGGUCGGGCAGCCGCGCCUGUCAUGUGCCGAAAGGCGGCAGGUGAGGAAAGUCCGGGCUCCAAGGAAACACGAUGCCGGGUAACGCCCGGCGGGGGCGACCCCAGGGAAAGUGCCACAGAAAGCAAACCGCCCCGUCUUCCGUACCGUUUCGGGUAAACGGCAGGGAUGACGGGGUAAGGGUGAAAGGGUGGGGUAAGAGCCCACCGCGCCGGCAGCAAUGCAGGCGGCACGGUAAACCCCAUCGGGAGCAAAACCGAAUAGGGACGGCGCGUCGGCUCGAAAGGGCAGGCAAUCGGUUUCCGGAUCAGCCGUCCGGGUGGGUUGCACGAGGCGGGUGGCGACAUCCGUCCCAGAUGAAUGGCUGCCGCGCCGGGCGCAAGCCCGGCCGUACAGAACCCGGCUUACAGACCGGCUGACAUU
rnacentral:RNase_P_RNA from 21 species